UGCGAUACGGCCGUAGAGGUGGCAAGUUGUAGCCUUGCUUAUGUGUAGGAUUCUACUCUGUCGUUU
rnacentral:tRNA from 1 species